UACAGAGGUCUCAACCGUUGUUCGGAUUCAUUGGGCGUAAAGGGUGCGUAGGCGGCUUGUUAAGUAGGGUGUGAAAUCCCCCGGCUCAACCGGGGAAUUGCGCCCUAAACUGGCGAGCUGGAGUGAGAUAGGGGUGUGUGGAACUUCCGGUGGAGCGGUGAAAUGUGUUGAUAUCGGAAGGAACGCCAGUGGCGAAAGCGACACACUGGGUCUCAACUGACGCUGAGGCACGAAAGCCAGGGGAGCAAACGGG
rnacentral:rRNA from 1 species